GAUGAAUGCUAGCGGCAGGCCUAAUACAUGCAAGUCGAACGAUCGUUUUUGGUUUACUAAAAACGGAGUGGCGCACGGGUGCGUAACACGUAUGCAACCUACCUUUAUCUGGGGAAUAGCCUUUCGAAAGGAAGAUUAAUACCGCAUAAUAUUAUUGAAUGACAUCAUUUAAUAAUCAAAGUUCAGGCGGAUAAAGAUGGGCAUGCGCAACAUUAGCUAGUUGGUGAGGUAACUGCUCACCAAGGCUACGAUGUUUAGGGGGUCUGAGAGGAUGAUCCCCCACACUGGUACUGAGACACGGACCAGACUCCUACGGGAGGCAGCAGUAGGGAAUAUUGGUCAAUGGACGAAAGUCUGAACCAGCCAUGCCGCGUGAAGGACGAAGGCCCUAUGGGUCGUAAACUUCUUUUAUAAGGGAAGAAAAAGCGUUACGUGUAACGCUCUGACAUUACCUUACGAAUAAGGAUCGGCUAACUCCGUGCCAGCAGCCGCGGUAAUACGGAGGAUCCAAGCGUUGUCCGGAUUUAUUGGGUUUAAAGGGUGCGCAGGCGGACUUUUAAGUCAGUGGUGAAAGCCGACAGCUCAACUGUCGAAUUGCCAUUGAAACUGAAAGUCUUGAAUGCGGUCGAGGUAAAUGGAAUGUGUCAUGUAGCGGUGAAAUGCUUAGAUAUGAUACAGAACACCUAUUGCGAAGGCAGUUUACUAGACCGAUAUUGACGCUCAGGCACGAAAGCGUGGGGAGCGAACAGGAUUAGAUACCCUGGUAGUCCACGCCCUAAACGUUGAUCACUCGAUGUUGGCAAUAUACCGUCAGCGUCCAAGCUAAAGCGUUAAGUGAUCCACCUGGGGAGUACGUCCGCAAGGAUGAAACUCAAAGGAAUUGACGGGGGCCUGCACAAGCGGUAGAGCAUGUGGUUUAAUUCGAUGAUACGCGAGGAACCUUACCAGGGCUUGAAAGUUAGUGACAGACUGAGAAAUCAGUCCUUCUUUCGAGACACAAAACUAGGUGCUGCAUGGCUGUCGUCAGCUCGUGCCGUGAGGUGUUGGGUUAAGUCCCGCAACGAGCGCAACCCCUAUCUUUAGUUGCCAUCAGGUUAUGCUGGGGACUCUAAAGAGACUGCCUACGCAAGUAGUGAGGAAGGUGGGGACGACGUCAAGUCAUCAUGGCCCUUACGUCCUGGGCUACACACGUGCUACAAUGGUUGGUACAAUGAGUUGCUACAUGGCAACAUGAUGCUAAUCUCAAAAAGCCAAUCUCAGUUCGGAUUGAGGUCUGCAACUCGACCUCAUGAAGCUGGAAUCGCUAGUAAUCGAAAAUCAGCAAUGUUCCGGUGAAUACGUUCCCAGGCCU
rnacentral:rRNA from 1 species